UAGGUGCUCACAAGUGUCCGUUGUGCGAAGGACUGAGUGAUCUCUGCAGGUUGCGCUUCCAUGGUUUGGGCCACAGUCCCAGAGACUCUGGUGGCAGGAAGGGGGAUAGAGCAGGGGAGCUGCAGUGUGGGCCAGGAAACCAGAAACAGGUUCCCUGUGGGUUUCCCUGCUUUCCCCUGCACAUUCCAGAUCUCUAGGAUCCAGAGGACUGGCUCUGGAGCCUUAGAAGAAAGGAAUAGAGUGGUGCGUAUGUGUGCACAAGUGUGUUUGAUGAGUGGUCAGAGUGUGUAAGUCUGGGUGUGCAUGCCUGUCUGUAAAUGUAUGAGUGUGUAUGUGUCUGUGUUACAUGCAUGUGACAAUGUGAUGUAUGGGUGUGUAUAUGUGUGUAUUUUGAGGGUAUGUGUCUGUGUGUAUGUAUGAGUGUGAGCAUCUGUGUGUGUGUACCUGCCUAUGUGUGCGUCUGCAUGCGUCUGUGUGUGUGCACGCGUGCGUGCGCGUGUGUGUGUGUGCUGUCCCUGGGGGAGCCUGAAGCCUCCUAGCUGAAAGUGUUUUUGGUCUGAUUUGCCCACAUUUCUAGCAGGUUGUGGAUGGGGUGGGGGAGGGGGGAGGCCAGGAGAGGAAGGCUGUUAGUGCUGGGGGUGUGGGGGAUGGGAGCCUGAGCAGUGGGGGUCUCUGUCCUACCAGGCACAGGGGUGUGGCCUCAGGGUUCCGGGUAUGAGGCUGGGUGGACACUGGGGCCUGAGGCCUGCACUAAGGGCUGCAUGGGAAGAGCUCACAGGCCCUGCUUUUACCAGGAAGGGCCAUGGGGGGGCAGGGUGGGAGGGGGGCCAGAAAGAGGAGGGUUCAGGCCAGCUCUCUCCCUGUCCCCACCCCCAGGAUUUGGGAAUGAUGGAACCAGGCUGCAGUUCCUAACUCUAGACUCCACCCAUUCUGCCUGAGGGCCUCAGAGUCCCCAGAAGUCCUUGUGUGCCCCCUGCUGAGGCUGGGUGACCAGAAUCACAGUGAAAACCUCUGUCCCUCCUCAAUACCACCCAGACAGGUGCAGACCAAGUCCUUAUCUCCUGGAGGCCUCUGGUGAGGCCAUGUGAGCUUUCUUACUGUGUUUCAUACAAGCUGAGGCUUUCACACCCAUUGUGCUGGGAAGUUCCUACUGCGUCUAAAUCAAAUCCUCGUGUUGCACUUUGUGCCCUAUAAGCCCAGGCUGAGUUUGUGAAAUUAGAGACCAGUAUCCCCUCCCCCCAGCACGGGAAUAGUUUCUUCUGGAUAGGGACGUGGGUCAGCGUGUCAGGACACUGAGAGGAGGUGGGUAAAGCCUGGUGGGUCACAGAUGAGUCAGACCUUUCCUGGGCAGGAGGACAGUGAUCAGCAGGGCAGAUUCAGAGAAGAGAGCUCAGAGACCUCCAGUUUUCCCUCUGGUUCCCCUGUCACUCCAGGUGGUGCCAGGGGAACUGGAAACAGGGGCUGUGGUAGGAGGGAGCAGAUUAGAGCAGGGAAAGGGCUUCCCUGUCUGCAGCUGUGAGGAGCCUCUGGAAACACAGGGCAAAGAGCACAUGAUGAAUGAGGAGAAGGUCCUCUCUCAGCUCAGGAAGUAGGAAGAGAGGGGGCAGAGCUGUGGGACUCAGGAGCAGAGCGGGGUGUGUGCUAAGGAUGGGGGUGUGCACAGCACGGUGUGUGUGGCUCACAUGUCUGUGCUGUGUGAUGAACAGUCCUCUGUGCCCAGUUCUGUGUGUAGCAUAGGUCACAUGGGGAAGGGGGAGCUUUGACAUCAGGGUGUGAACCCAGGGCUCUGAGCUGGUUUUCCACUGGGGCCAUGAAGUGUGCUUUGCUUUUAGGAGCAGUGGUCAGCACCCAUGGGAAGACCCUGGAUUGGGAAUCAAGAGCACGUGGGUUUCAGUUCUGGUUCUAGUUCUCAGCGGGACCCCUGUGAGGCCUCAGCUCUGGGAGCUGGCAUGUCACCUGCUGUCCAACUAUAAAGGAAUAGCCGGUGGCCCUUCUGUGCCAGCAGCCCCAGGGCUGGGGACCAGAAAAGGGAAGGGGGCUGGUGUGGGGAUGGCAUUUCAGGGGCUGAAGGGAAUAAGGGAAGUCAGUGGGCAGGGCGGUAGGAGGGUUUUCCUGAGAACGGAAAUUCCUGGGGUUUUGCCAGAGCCACAGCCCCCCAGCCUGGGCAGCCCAGCCCUGUCUCAGCUCCCAGGGCCCAGGGCUGGCUCUGCAGGGAGCGCCGUUCUCUGCCGCCCUCUUGUGGCCACCGAGCCCUUCGCAGGUCACUGCUUAGAAGCUUGGAGCCCCUGCCUGUCACCUUACUCCCAAUGGCACUGACAUCCACCCCUGCAGGAGGCCGGCUCAUGCUGGCUCCUCCGUGGGGAUCCCUUCCCAGCCUGCAGGGCAGCUCUGAGACUCCUCACCAGGGACACCGUGGUGUCCUUUAGGGCGGGUCUAAGUGUUGAGAAUUGCCCAGUGUUCUCCGAGGCUGGAGAAGAAGGUGAGGACCCAGCUUGGAAGCAGUAUUUCCAGUGGAAAACCAGGUGGAUGUGGGCAGACACAGUGGAGGACGGCCUCCUCUCACGUGGCUCUGAAGGCCCCAGUAUCAUUUUUUUGUGUGUUUGUUACAACCAGGUAGUAGUGCUCCCAGGAGCAGCCCCAGCCUGGUGCUGGACGGGAAGCCUGGCAUUUGCCUGAAAUACUUAGUCAAGGGGUCCUGCCCUUGGGGAGCUGACAGUUCCCUCCCUGCUCGGUGACACUCACUCAUCACAGACCCACAAGUGCAAAUGAUUAGGCAAAUUCAUAAUCAGAGCCAGUGAGUUCAUCAGGGAAGGCUGCCUGGAGGAGGGGAGUCAUGAGUAGGUAUAGAAGGAUCAACCCAGCAGGGCAGGGAUGGAGGAGAAGAGGAGGAGAACCUCUCUCUGUUGCUUCUGAAGCAGGAUGAGCAAACGAAAACCAGGCAGGAGCCAGCUGUGCUGGCCUGGUAUAAACAGCUGGAUUGGGGACCAGCAUGGAGGGGCAGUAGGGAGGCAGAUGUUCACCGCCAGGCUGGGGGUUCUGAAGUUGCUAGAAUUAGAAUUGAGGCCACUGGAGGGAGUCCUGAAAUGUGUUGGGCAGUGAUGUGUACGUGCACAGUUGUCUGGAGACGUGCGUGCAUAAGUUAGCAUGUCGUGUGUGUGUGUGUGUGUGUGUGUGUGUGUGUGUGUGUGUUGGGGAAUGUGUGUGAGGGAGGCAGAGAGAUGGAGAAGGCAGGGUCUGCUGGAUGCGGGGUCACAGUGUAAAAUGUCCAGGGUUGUAGCUCCGCGGUGACCCUGGGCUGGGCGGGCAGGACGCUGGGAGCGAGGCUGACUUCCUGGCCUUGAUGUGUCCUCCUAGGCUGUGAGGACGACUGAGCCUGGACCGCACAGGCUAGGGAGCCAUGGCUCCAGGAGAGACAGCUGCCGGGGCCUGGACAGGCGGAGAGGAGGCUCCAGGGGUCAGGAGACAGAAAGAGGGAGAGUGAGACAGGGAUGGGGUGGGGAGGGGUCAUGGGAAGCCUGAAGGCUCUGAGACCUUUCUCUGGGCUCUCCCCUUCAACCACCCCUUCUAUGGAUGGAAUUCUGUGUUUAAAGCUGAAGGAUCUUCCAUAAAUGCUGUGGUUCAGCCUCUCAUCUUCAAAGGGUAAGGUAUUCCUUCCCCACUCCCCAGCUGAGGCCUCAACUUGGCAAAGCUCUCCUGGGUAGGGCAUGCUGAGAAGGACCAGGAGGCAGAACUUUGGCCUUCUGAGGUGAACCUUUUCCCUGCCACGCCUGGGCCCCCAGCCUUCCUGCUUCCCAGGACAGAGCCUGCCGGAGGGGGCCCCACAUGCAGUCAUGUGAUUCUCUGCUCUGCCCCUCACCUGCUCUGUGACUUGAGAGGAGUUACUUACCCUCUCUGUGCCUUGGUUUCAUUAUCUGUAAAAUAGCAGCACUAACACCUGCUUGUGUAACCUGUUAUUGAUGAGAAAAGGAGAUUCAUGCAGAAGAACCGUGCACAGGUGUCAAGACUGAUAAAUCUGAGACAUUUAUUCCAUCCUCACCCUCAUCUCUGAUGUCUUCUUAGCUUCUCUGCAGACCCGCCUAGCACACCAACCUCCUGUCUCCCAGCCCUUUGCACCCCAGCCUCUCAAUCUGCAUUUCCUUCCCUCUGCUCUUGCUUGCUGCUCUCCAUCUCUGCUCCCAUCCUCCUUUCCAGAGUCCCUCAGCACUGGAGGAUCGGGCUACAAUCUGUUAACUUAUAUGUUUUAUUUUACCCAGGGUUUCUGGUCUUGUGGGGCUCUCUUCCCACAUUCCAAUGAGCAGGGCCCUGUCUUCUCCUCCCUUGGGAUGCUUUCCUUCCCCCUGAGCGGUGAUCACAGUGGGAGUCAAAGGAAUGGACAGUGAGAGCUGCAGAGAGCUGGAGAUCCAGCAGGAGAGGGGGGCCAGUGGACAGGACAGGGAACUGGGUGUCUGCACUUCGGGUCUUCCCUCCAGCCUGUGUCAUCCUUCCUCAGAAUGUUUGCCAUGACAAGGGAGGGAAACCAUCAUCUCCCUCCUGCAGCUCAGGGUUACAGGGGAAUUCAUUUUCUAAUGUUUGAGAGACUACAUUUUCUUCCCUGAUGUGGGACAAAUCAUCUGGAGGCCCAUCCCACAAGGAAAGGAAUAGCAGUCAAUUGUGGGCUUUCCUUUUCCUGUUUGGGGUGUGUGUGUGUGUGUGUGUGUGGUUGUAGCAUCUACCUACCCUAGGUCUAAGGAAGUGCUUUCCAAAGUGUAUCCUAAAUUGCUUUUGCUGAAAUUAUACCCAUCUCUUCAGAGGAGGCAGUUUCUAAAGCCCAGGAUCUCAUUCAGUGUGUUUUAUAAAAGAUGUGUUUACUGGAGGAAGAUGAGGAUAUGGGGUAGAUCGUUGAGAAGAAAUGUAAUUACCAGCUCCUGCCUAUAGUUACAUGGAAAUCCUGGACAUUCUGAACUGUAUUACACUUUUAGUGUCCAUGGGAGUGUGAUGAACCUCAUGGGUUUUGCUCCCAGGUCUUCUCUGCAGGACUUCUCUGGAAGUUUUCCCUCCACCCUCCCUCCUACUGCUACAGAGACUCCUUGGUCUAACUGUCAACAGACAUCUGGCCUCUGGGACCUUCAAAUCUCACUUCAGGGAAGAGGACAGAUAGACCCGGUCACAGCGACCAUCCAGGGUGUGGCUAUGAAGGCAGUGGUGGUGGCUGCAGUGAUGGUGGCUUCAGAGACAGGGCUUGGACUGCACAGAAGUCGAGGACACCACCAGGAACAGCAGUGGGGGCCUCAGAGCUACUGUGUCCAGUGUGGCAGAGGCCGGGCCGGGGUGCAACAGCAAGGGCAGCAGCGGUGUCAGCAGACUCCAGCAGCAAUGUCGGCGGACUCAGGAGAACCCAGAGCAAGUCCAUCUUGAGGGGCUUGGCCUCAGUGCCGGGGCAUUAUGGAGGGAGAGCACAUACCAGAAGAAAUAUGAAGCAGCAGCUUUGAAGCCUGAGCAACCGACUGAGACAUCUCCACCCAACUCUAUUUAACGAGGCCUCACUGAACCUAAUCUGAGACUGUCAGCUCCCUGGGUUCACUACAGCUCCCUGAUCCUAGAAUCCUCUUCAAUUCCAGCUACGAUGCUGUGUCAGGGACUUCUCAGAUUUGGUCAAAAGCUGGUGCGCAGACGUCCGCUGGAGCCACCUGUAGCUGAAACUUCCCCUGCCAGAAGACUGACCAUUCUGGAUUUAGUGGCCCUGGGUGUGGAACACACAGUGGGUAUAAGUGCAUAUAUCGUGGCUGGCGAUGUGGCUAGAGAUCAAGCAGGUCCAUCCAUUGUGAUCUGCUCUUUGGUGGCCGGCCUAACUUCUUUGUUGGCUGGGCUAUGCUAUGCAGAGUUUGGUGCCCGGGUUCCCCAUUCUGGCUCUUCAUAUCUCUACAGCUUUGUCAGUAUAGGUGAACUCGGGGCUUUCAUCACUGGCUGGAUCCUCAUCCUCACCAAUGUUGCUGGAUUGGCCAUUAGGAUCUGGGCUUGGACCUUAGCUUUGGACUGCCUUUUUGGGAACAAGAUCUCUCAGACCUUGCAGGAGAUCGUUUCACCACAUGUUCCUGGUGUCUUUGCAGAAAUGCUAGGCUUAUUUGUUAUGUUCCUUCUGUUGUUCCUCUUGGAUUUGCUGACUUGGAACAUUAGGCAGCUUUCCUUGGUUACCAAUGUGGUCACAUUGGUGAACUUUUUGGUUCUUGGUUUUGUCAUCACCUCUGGCUUCAUUAAGGGGGACCUGCACAACUGGAAGCUCACAGAAGAGGACUACAUACAGGCUGGACUCAAUGACACCUCUAGCUUGGGUCUUCUGGGCUCUGGAGGAUUUGUGCCUUUUGGUUUCCAGGGGAUUGUCCGAGGAACAGCUACCUGUUUGUAUUCAUUUAUAGGUUUCACCAUUAUUAUUAUCAGAGGUAAAGAAGCCCAGAAUCCCCAGCAUUCCAUCCCCAUGGGUGUUGUGAUUUCACUGCUCAUCAGCUCUUUGGUGUAUUUUAGUGUCUUUUCGGCGCUUACGCUUAUGGUGCCUUACUACCAGCUUCGACCUGGGAGCACCUUGCCUGAGGCAUUUCUCCAUAUUGGCUGGGCCCCUGCCUACUACAUUGUAGCUUUUGGAUUUUUCUGUAGUAUUUCUGCAAGCUUCUCAGUCUAUAUGUUCCCCAUACGUCGGAUGAUCUCCAUGAUGGCACAGGACGGCCUCCUGUUCCCUGUCCUUGCCAGGAUCCAAACUGGCACAUAUGCCCGCAUCGCGUCCACUCUGAUCUUUGGCAUUAUUACAGCAAUCACAGUAUUCUUCUUUGGAUUCACUGCUCUCUUGGACCUCAUUUCAUUUGGGGGACUGCUAGUUUUCUCUCUGCUGGCUUUUAGUGUUCUCAUCCUCAGGUAUGAGCCUGAGAUGCAGAAUGGGGGAAAUGAAGCACAGGUGCAGGAGGAGAACGGGGGAAAUGAAGUGCAGAUGCAGGAGGAGAACGGGGGAAAUGAAGUGCAGGUGCAGGAGGAGAACGGGGGAAAUGAAGUGCAGAUGCAGGAGGAGAAUGUGGGAAAUGAAGUGCAGGUGCAGGAGGAGAACGGACCUGCAGCAGAGAAACUGAUUCUACGGGGACAAUUUUUUCCAGGCGGCCCCACCCCCACUCCACUCUCUGGCCGAGUUGUCUAUGUUUGCUCCUCACUGCUUGCUCUGCUGCUGACUCUCCUCUGCCUGGUGCUGGCCCACUGGCCAGGUCUGCUUUCUGGAGACCCAGGUCCCAUCACAGUGGUCGUGCUGCUCCUGGUGCUCAUCACUGGGAUCACUGGGGUCAUCUGGAGACAGCCACAGAGCCCCACUCCCCUUCCCUUUAAGGCCCCUGCUCUGCCUCUCCUCCCACUCCUGAGCAUCUUCGUGAAUGUUUACCUUAUGAUGCAGAUGACAGCUCUCUCCUGGGCUGGAGUUGGUGUCUGGAUGCUGAUUGGGUUUGCUAUCUACUUUGGCUAUGGGAUCCAGCACAGCCUGGUUUCUUAACCCUACUGAAAAUAGGGCCCAGACCCUAGACCUUGAACUCAGCAGUGCCAGUACCUAUUUGGCCUGCCAUCAUACACCUGAAUGCAGUCUGGUCACCUGCACAAUAAUAGGGAGUACUCUUGAGCACAUGGAAUGCAGGCCUCCCAUGGAGAUGUUGGUGGGGGAACACUAACAGAGCUUGUAUUUAUUGUGCAGUGAAGGAUAUGUCUUUGCUCUUUUUUUUUUUAACUUCUCUACUUUUCAGUUGUGUUUGUAGCUGCAUAUUGGCUUUCAAAAAGUUAUUACUAAAAGAAACUAGAAGUAUUUUCAUUUUCUCAGGUUUAAUAUCCAGUGUUGGAGUUACUGGAUCAUGUGGUAGCUUAAUUUUUAGAUUUUGAGGAAUUACCUGGGGCAUCUGGGUGGGUAAGUUGGUUGAGUGUCCUACUUUGGCUCAGGUCAUGAUCUCAG